AGGGAACAUGAUAUGCAGUUCCAUGUAUUGGUGGUACUGUCACUUGCGUUCCCAACAGAAAAAGCUUUCUGAUGACGGCAACACGUCAAGGCUUAGGUUGUCGACAGAUACGGAGCUUACAUUC